UACGGGGGGGGCAAGCGUUGUUCGGAAUUACUGGGCGUAAAGGGCUCGUAGGCGGCCAACUAAGUCGGAUGUGAAAUCCCCAGGCUCAACCUGGGAACUGCAUCCGAUACUGGAUGGCUUGAAUUCGGGAGAGGGAUGCAGAAUUCCAGGUGUAGCGGUGAAAUGCGUAGAGAUCCGGAGGAAGACCGGUGGCGAAGGCGGCCUGCUGGGCAGUUACUGACACUGAGGCGCGACAGCGUGGGGAGCAAACAGG
rnacentral:rRNA from 1 species